UCAGGUGGUCAAUUGCUGUUAUAUAUAGGUAUAGAUCAGAAUUAGGUCUCAGCUAAGCAGUUUCGGGAAUUUAAUAGUUAAUUUAAUAGCCACUGUGAAUGUGACUGAUGUGACCUGUGCAACUGGCUCAACCAGUGCUUCAGCUUCCUUUUAGAAGUGUCAUGCAGUCUCUCAUUUGAUUGUUCCAAAUCACUUCGGAAAGUGUGCACAGGAGCCAGCUGCUGCUGGGGGCGGAGCUGGGUUUCGUCCCAUCCGGAGCCCGGCGCUGGUUCGCUGCGCAGGGAGACGUCUCCAUCUCGCGGUCAGAAGAGUCGAGCACAGCUGACUCUAUGGUAGUCAAAGCAGUCGACGCAGGAGCUUUUACAAAGGGUCCCGAGCCAGGAGUACGCUGCAUUUGAGCUGUUUUCUGCUCUCACUAGCCUGUUCCUUAAAACACUCUUGGAGCGGACUGGGCACGGCUGGCUGUUCUUGAUGCUGUUUGUCCCCUUUGUGUUUUGCAGGACCGUGAGGGAGCUGGAGGCUCAGCUGGAAUCCGAGCGAGUCAGGAGGGAAAACCUGGAGAGCCAGCUGGAUGGCUGCCGAGCCGAGAUCGGCCGCCUCAGGGAGAGCCGGGAUAGAGCCCGCAGCCCUGCUGCUCUGCCUCCGGAACCUGAACCCAUCUCCAUUUCCUGCAAAGAGAAAAA